rnacentral:rRNA from 1 species
UACCAGCGCCACAAGUGGCAAUCAUAUUUAUUUGGCCUAAAGCGUCCGUAGCCGGUCUGAUAAAUCUUUUGUGAAAUUGUUCGGCUUAACCGAACAACGUGCAGAAGAGACUGUCAGACUUGGGACCAGAGAGGGGUUGGAAGUAUUUCUGGGGGAGCGGUAAAAUGUUAUAAUCCCAGAAGGACUACCUGUGGCGAAAGCGUCCAACCAGAAUGGAUCCGACGGUGAGGGUCGAAAGCUAGGGGAGCGAUCCGGAUUAGAUACCCCCGUA